CCCCUCCAUUACCCGACACACGCUUCACAGCCCCCGCACAUCUCGUAACAUCACUAGGUAGCAUCUCUGGCUGCUGUUGACCUUGUUUUUGGAGUAAAACACGGUGGAAGCUGAAUUAGUGAGGAUGACUCCUGCUCCUGUCAUCUCUAAGCUCCUCACACAUCUUUACCUGCACAUGAGGAAAAUCACUCCUGUAGAAUGCAGAUGUUCAGAGGGAGAUGAUGCCACAUCUGGUCCAGCUGAUGGAAGGUCUUGAAGUUCUCUGACUGCCUCGACUGAAGAUGGUCGUCUCACUGGAUUUAAGGUUCAGAUGCUCAGUAACAAACUCCACCAAU